rnacentral:rRNA from 1 species
GACGAACGCUGGCGGCAUGCCUAACACAUGCAAGUCGAGCGAACAGAUGGAGUGCUUGCACUUCUGACGUUAGCGGCGAACGGGUGAGUAACACGUAAGGAAUCUACCUAUAAGCGGGGGAUAACAUUCGGAAACGGGUGCUAAUACCGCAUAAUAUCUUCUUCCGCAUGGAAGAAGAUUGAAAGACGGCUCUGCUGUCACUUAUAGAUGACCUUGCGGUGCAUUAGUUAGUUGGUGGGGUAACGGCCUACCAAGACGAUGAUGCAUAGCCGACCUGAGAGGGUGAUCGGCCACAUUGGGACUGAGACACAGCCCAAACUCCUACGGGAGGCAGCAGUAGGGAAUCUUCCGCAAUGGGCGAAAGCCUGACGGAGCAAUGCCGCGUGAGUGAAGAAGGCCUUCGGGUCGUAAAACUCUGUUAUAAGAGAAGAACAAAUUGUAGAGUAACUGCUACAGUCUUGACGGUAUCUUAUCAGAAAGCCACGGCUAACUACGUGCCAGCCGCCGCAGUAA